CUUAAGGGGGGGAGAAUUCUAUGCAUGAUAUUUUGGUGGAUUUCAGAUGAUUUUUAGUUACUAUCAGAUUCUACCAACAUUACUCACAUUGAGUAAUACCUUCUCCUUCAAAUAGCCCCAAUGAAAUCGGCACAGUUAAGCAUGGCAGAAUUAGACCCUGGAUAAACCAGGGUUCCUAGCCCUGUUGGAGAGAGAGGGAAUUGGAAAUGCCUUUAAAUAGCUCUGGGCCAGUAACCUUUUAGUUCUGAUCUCCUCAGUAAUAAUCUCUCUCCUUCUUUCUCUUUUUAUGUAAGGAUGCUCUUGUCCUGUGGAUUAUUACUACAAUAAAAUGCUCUGUGCCUGAUUUUUUUCAAUCCCUAUGGCAGCUCUGGACAACAAUUCACGUUAAAAUUAAUGAGAACUGAAUGUCAAAUGCCCUUUUGAAAAUCUUAGCAAAAUCAAUACAUGAGCGUCUGGCACCAAAUCCCACAUGUGUGUGUGCCCCAAGCCUUCUGGACGCAUGAGUCAGGCUCUAAACAUAGCAGCUGCUGGGCCUUGUGUCUCUGAUGGGUCAGCCCAAAGCCACAGAGCUAAAUGCUCUAGACUUUUGGAAGAAUCUGGGCCUGAAUUUUGCAGUUUGGGCCCAUUUUCGGUAAAAAUCUCUCCUAUUAAUAUCCACUGUACAGAAAUAAAGAUUAACAGUGAUUUAUUUUUGAGAAUGCUGGCUUCCAAAGGACAUGACUCCUAUUCUUAUUCCCAAAGAAACUUAUGGUGGAAGCUUAUGUCACAUCCAUGUUUCCUGGUCUGAAGUUUGGAGAGGAAAUCAGAUUCACUUCUCCAUGAUGUGGCACAAAAAGUGCAGCGUAUAGACUGCAGAGGAACAGACUGCAGACUCUGGGUCUGUCAGAGCAAUCUGAUGAUAAUAUGCAAAAUCUCACUGAGUCAGAAAGGGACAUGACAUAUUUAUCAUUACAAUAUCUCUGGACUUAGCAUGCAUGCCAGAUGAUGUCAGUGCGUAUUGAGAGUAUUAUUCAAAAGAUGCCCAAAGCUUAAUGGCUCGAAUGGCCCAUAUCACACUCCAAAAAGAGCUACUUCCAGGCCAAUGAGGAGAGUUACAAGAAAAAUAGUGGGCAUUCACUGGUAGCUACACUGGGAUGUAACUACAGAUUCAGCACACGGAUCACUUGAUUAUUACCUGUUCUGUUCAUUCCCUCUGAAGCACCUGGCAUAGGCCACUGUCUGAAGACAGGACACUGGGCUAGAUGGACCUUCGGUCUGACCCAGUAUGGCCGUUCUUAUGUUGUUCUUAUUGGGAAUUAUGUCAGAUGCUGUUAUAAAAUAUUGUACCUAAAACCACUGUACAUUCCCCCUGGAACACACGGGAAAUGACUGAAAGCAAUGUAAUGAAGUUGCAGGAAAAGAAGGCAGGGUUUCAGCUUUUUAAAGUUGAUGACAAAGGCAUGAUCUGAAUACAGGCCAAGGAGCCAGGACCUGAGGUCUACUUCAACAAAGUACUUAAGAGUGUGCUUAAAAUUAAACACACACUUAUGUACUACUGAAGUCUUAAGCAGCUGCUUAGGUGCUUGGCUGAAUUGGUGUCCAAGGUCCAGAUCCUCAAAGCUAUUUAGGUACUUAAAAUCUUUUGAAGAUCUGGGCCUAAAUUCCUGAGCUCUAAUAACAACUCACCUUGUGGCCUUGGAGAGUCACCUAUCCUCUGUAGGGCCUGAACUUGCUGAGGUCAGUGGGAGUUUUGCCACUGACCUCAAUGAGAAGAGGAUGGGGGUUGAGCGUGCCUCAGUUUCCUGAUCUAUAAAAAGUGCAUAACUUAUUACCUAUCACCUAAUGUUCAUAAAUAAUCAUCAAGGUGCUAAAUGUUUUAUAUCACAAUAGUAAUAAAGGUGUCUUUUGUUCCAUUUCUGUAACAAAUGAACCAGUGUUUCCAGUACAUACAUACAUGUAUGUAUGGUUCAGUUUCUUAAAAAAAAAAAAAAAAAAAAGCAUUCAGACCCUUUGGAAACCCAGAACUUGUCUGCCACCUCCUAUGAGAAUCUGGGACUUUCAAAAGCAUAAUGAGAGACUAUGGCCAUUUCAUUGUCUUGGGACCUGUCUAUGAAGCUAUUUUCACUCCCAACAAUUCUCUCUUGCUGGACUUUGGAAAAACCUGUGAAAAAUCACAGAUGGGAAAAUUUUGUGGAGUAGGAGGUUUUGCGCACAUUGGGAAAUAUUUGCAUUAGGGUUUGCAAAAUAGUGGAAGUCCGCAAGGAAACCAGCACUCUGCAUUAGCGAAUCAUACCCAUCCCACGAGCCAGGUUGGUACAAGUGGAUGGCAUGUAUAGGAGAUAUAAAUUGUCUCCUCUUAGAUUCCUUCUCUUUCCCUGCCAAACCUUCAUGUUUCUCUGUCUUGUUUGUUUCUCCAACAUUCUCAGAUUUUAAGGCCAGAAGGAACUGUUAGAUCAUCCAGUCUGUCCUCAUCCAUCACACAGGCCAGAGAAAUUCACCCAGUGAUUCCUACAGUAGAGUGCCAGCUGUGAGCUGUGUUCACCGGGAACUAGACUGCGACAGUUCGUUUUACAAGGAUUCCUGACAGCCCUCAACCUUCCUAGUCUCACCAACGGCCCCUGUCAUGCUGCAUUCUCCAAGCAGGGAUAUGGCAGCUCAGCACACAUGGCAUCACCACCACAUGGCCAGUCAGUGCAACACAUGGUG